rnacentral:snRNA from 1 species
AGCUUUGCUCAGUGGCAGUAUUGUGGCCAAUGAGGUUUAUCUGAAGCUUAAUUAUUGCUAAUUAACAUUUUCCCCACUAUAACAAAACACUUAUUAGUGUUCCUUGCCAUUUUUUAAUGGGAACCAUUUUC